rnacentral:rRNA from 1 species
AUUGAACGCUGGCGGAAUGCUUUACACAUGCAAGUCGAACGGCAGCACGGACUUCGGCCUGGUGGCGAGUGGCGAACGGGUGAGUAAUAUAUCGGAACGUGCCCAGUCGUGGGGGAUAACGUAGUGAAAAUUACGCUAAUACCGCAUACGAUCUACGGAUGAAAGCGGGGGAUCGCAAGACCUCGCGCGAUUGGCGCGGCCGAUAUCAGAUUGGGUAGUUGGUGGGGUAAAGGCUAACCAAGCCAACGAUCUGUAGCAGGUCUGAGAGGUACGACCAGCCACACUGGGACUGAGACACGGCCCAGACUCCUACGGGAGGCAGCAGUGGGGAAUUUUGGACAAUGGACGCAAGUCUGAUCCAGCCAUUCCGCGUGCAGGACGAAGGCCUUCGGGUUGUAAACUGCUUUUGUACAGAACGAAAAGGUUUCUAUUAAUACUAGGGGCUCAUGACGGUACUGUAAGAAUAAGCACCGGCUAACUACGUGCCAGCAGCCGCCGUAA